AUUGCCCCAGUAACGGCGAGUGAAGCGGCAACAGCUCAAAUUUGAAAUCUGGCUCUCGGGCCCGAGUUGUAAUUUGUAGAGGAUGCUUUUGGUGAGGUGCCUUCCGAGUUCCCUGGAACGGGACGCCAUAGAGGGUGAGAGCCCCGUCUGGUUGGACACCGAUCCUCUGUAAAGCUCCUUCGACGAGUCGAGUAGUUUGGGAAUGCUGCUCUAAAUGGGAGGUAUAUGUCUUCUAAAGCUAAAUACCGGCCAGAGACCGAUAGCGCACAAGUAGAGUGAUCGAAAGAUGAAAAGAACUUUGAAAAGAGAGUUAAACAGUACGUGAAAUUGUUGAAAGGGAAGCGCUUGUGACCAGACUUGGGCUUGGUUGAUCAUCCGGGGUUCUCCCCGGUGCACUCUUCCGGCCCAGGCCAGCAUCAGUUCGCCCUGGGGGACAAAGGCUUCGGGAAUGUGGCUCUCUCCGGGGAGUGUUAUAGCCCGUUGCGUAAUACCCUGUGGCGGACUGAGGUUCGCGCAUUCGCAAGGAU
rnacentral:rRNA from 1 species